rnacentral:rRNA from 1 species
GAUUGAACGCUGGCGGUAUGCUUAACACAUGCAAGUCGAACGGAAACGAUACUAGCUUGCUAGUAGGCGUCGAGUGGCGGACGGGUGAGUAACGCGUAGGAAUCUGCCUGAUAGUGGGGGAUAGCCCGAAGAAAUUCGGAUUAAUACCGCAUAAUCUAUUCGUAGUAAAGUGGGGGACUUUCGAGCCUCACGCUAUCAGAUGAGCCUGCGUAAGAUUAGCUUGUUGGUAGGGUAAAAGCCUACCAAGGCGACGAUCUUUAGCUGGUCUGAGAGGAUGAUCAGCCACAUCGGGACUGAGACACGGCCCGAACUCCUACGGGAGGCAGCAGUGGGGAAUAUUGGACAAUGGGGGCAACCCUGAUCCAGCAAUACCGCGUGUGUGAAGAAGGCCUGAGGGUUGUAAAGCACUUUCAAUUGUGAAGAAAAGUUAGCGGUUAAUAACCGUUAGCCUUGACGUUAACUUUAGAAGAAGCACCGGCUAACUCCGUGCCAGCAGCCGCGGUAAUACGGAGGGUGCAAGCGUUAAUCGGAAUUACUGGGCGUAAAGCGUGCGUAGGCGGUUUAUUAAGUCAGAUGUGAAAGCCCCGGGGCUUAACCUGGGAACUGCAUUUGAAACUGGUCAACUAGAGUAUGGUAGAGGAAAGUGGAAUUUCUGGUGUAGCGGUGAAAUGCGUAGAUAUCAGAAGGAACAUCAAUGGCGAAGGCAGCUUUCUGGACCAAUACUGACGCUGAGGUACGAAAGCGUGGGUAGCAAACAGGAUUAGAUACCCUGGUAGUCCACGCCGUAAACGAUGAUAACUAGCCGUUGGGGGGAUUUACCCUUUAGUGGCGAAGCUAACGCGUUAAGUUAUCCGCCUGGGGAGUACGGCCGCAAGGUUAAAACUCAAAGGAAUUGACGGGGACCCGCACAAGCGGUGGAGCAUGUGGUUUAAUUCGAUGCAACGCGAAGAACCUUACCUGGUCUUGACAUCCUGCGAACUUUCUAGAAAUAGAUUGGUGCCUUCGGGAACGCAGUGACAGGUGCUGCAUGGCUGUCGUCAGCUCGUGUCGUGAGAUGUUGGGUUAAGUCCCGUAACGAGCGCAACCCCUAUCCUUAUUUGCCAGCACAUCAUGGUGGGAACUAUAAGGAGACUGCCGGUGAUAAACCGGAGGAAGGCGGGGACGACGUCAAGUCAUCAUGGCCCUUACGACCAGGGCUACACACGUGCUACAAUGGGAAGGACAAAGAGCCGCGAAGCCGCGAGGUGUAGCUAAUCUCAUAAACCUUUUCGUAGUCCGGAUUGGAGUCUGCAACUCGACUCCAUGAAGUCGGAAUCGCUAGUAAUCGUAGAUCAGAAUGCUACGGUGAAUACGUUCCCGGGUCUUUGUACACACCGCCCG